rnacentral:rRNA from 1 species
AGCGUAUACGGUGGAUGCCUUGGCAGUUAGAGGCGAUGAAGGACGUGUAAGUCUGCGAAAAGCUGUGGUGAGCCGACAAAAUGCAUUUGAGCCACAGAUGUCCGAAUGGGGAAACCCACCUAUUUAUAGGUAUCGCUACAUGAAUAUAUAGUGUAGCGAGGCGAACGAGGGGAACUGAAACAUCUAAGUACCCUUAGGAAAAGAAAUCAACCGAGAUUCCCCUAGUAGCGGCGAGCGAACGGGGAUUAGCCCUUAAGCAAUUAUGAACGUAGUGGAAGCCUCUGGGAAGUGGCGCGAUACAAGGUGAUAGCCCUGUACACGAAGUGUUUGUUUUUGUGAAAUCGAGUAGGUCGGGACACGUGUUAUCUUGACUGAAUAUGGGGGGACCAUCCUCCAAGGCUAAAUACUCCUAACUGACCGAUAGUGAACCAGUACCGUGAGGGAAAGGCGAAAAGAACCCCUGUGAGGGGAGUGAAAUAGAACCUGAAACCGUAUACGUACAAGCAGUGGGAGCACCUUCGUGGUGUGACUGCGUACCUUUUGUAUAAUGGGUCAACGACUUAGUGUUGUAUGCAAGCUUAAACCGUUAGGUGUAGGCGCAGCGAAAGCGAGUCUGAAUAGGGCGACCGAGUAUGCAGCAUUAGACCCGAAGGCAAGUGAUCUAGGUAUGGGCAGGGUGAAGGUGCAGUAACAUGCACUGGAGGCCCGAACCGUUGAGCGUUGAAAAGCUCUCGGAUGACCUGUGCCUAGGGGUGAAAGGCCAAUCAAACUCGGAGAUAGCUGGUUCUCUGCGAAAUCUAUUUAGGUAGAGCGU